UGGGGAAUUUUGGACAAUGGGCGAAAGCCUGAUCCAGCAAUGCCGCGUGUGUGAAGAAGGCCUUCGGGUUGUAAAGCACUUUUGUCCGGAAAGAAAUCCUUGGCUCUAAUACAGUCGGGGGAUGACGGUACCGGAAGAAUAAGCACCGGCUAACUACGUGCCAGCAGCCGCGGUAAUACGUAGGGUGCAAGCGUUAAUCGGAAUUACUGGGCGUAAAGCGUGCGCAGGCGGUUUGCUAAGACCGAUGUGAAAUCCCCGGGCUCAACCUGGGAACUGCAUUGGUGACUGGCAGGCUAGAGUAUGGCAGAGGGGGGUAGAAUUCCACGUGUAGCAGUGAAAUGCGUAGAGAUGUGGAGGAAUACCGAUGGCGAAGGCAGCCCCCCUGGGCCAAUACUGACGCUCAUGCACGAAAGCGUGGGGGAGCAAAACAGGAUUAGAUACCCUGGUAGUCCACGCCCUAAACGAUGUCAACUAGUUGUUGGGGAUUCAUUUCCUUAGUAACGUAGCUAACGCGUGAAGUUGACCGCCUGGGGAGUACGGUCGCAAGAUUAAAACUCAAAGGAAUUGACGGGGUCAUAGCUGUUUCCU
rnacentral:rRNA from 1 species